rnacentral:ncRNA from 1 species
CUGUCCGAGGGGCGCUGCAGCAGGCCCUGGCCUGUCAGGCUCGGAUGGGGCGUUGCCCGGCCGGGUUGUCCUGGCUGGAUACUAAACGCACAACGGCGCCCAUUCGCA